rnacentral:rRNA from 1 species
AAUUUUGGACAAUGGGGGAAACCCUGAUCCAGCCAUCCCGCGUGUAUGAUGAAGGCCUUCGGGUUGUAAAGCUCUUUCACCGGUGAAGAUAAUGACGGUAACCGGAGAAGAAGCCCCGGCUAACUUCGUGCCAGCAGCCGCGGUAAUACGAAGGGGGCUAGCGUUGUUCGGAAUUACUGGGCGUAAAGCGCACGUAGGCGGAUUGGUCAGUUAGGGGUGAAAUCCCGGAGCUUCACUCCGGAACUGCCUUUAAUACUGCCAGUCUAGAGACCGAGAGAGGUAAGUGGAACUCCUAGUGUAGAGGUGGAAUUCGUAGAUAUUAGGAAGAACACCAGUGGCGAAGGCGGCUUACUGGCUCGGAACUGACGCUCAUGCACGAAAGCGUGGGGAGCAAACAG